rnacentral:snRNA from 1 species
GUGCUUACCUGGCCGGGGAGAUGCCACAAAUUAAAGUGGUUUCCCCAGCACAGACUGUCCAUUGCACUCUAGAUGUUCUGACCCCUGCACUUUCUCCAGAUGUGGGAGACUCUAUAGUUUGUGGUAACGGGGGAUUAUGUUGAGCUCCUG